rnacentral:rRNA from 1 species
UGACGUUAACUUUAGAACAAGCACCGGUUAACUCCGUGCCAGCAGCCGCGGUAAUACGGAGGGUGCAAGCGUUAAUCGAAAUUACUGGGCGUAAAGCGUGCGUAGGCGGUUUAUUAAGUCAGAUGUGAAAGCCCCGGGCUUAACCUGGGAACUGCAUUUGAAACUGGUAAACUAGAGUAUGGUAGAGGAAAGUGGAAUUUCUGGUGUAGCGGUGAAAUGCGUAGAUAUCACAAGGAACAUCAAUGGCGAAGGCAACUUUCUGGACCAAUACUGACGCUGAGGUACGAAAGCGUGGGUAGCAAACAGGAUUAAAUACCCUGGUAGUCCACGCCGUAAACGAUGAUAACUAGCCGUUGGGGGGAUUUACCCUUUAGUGGCGAAGCUAACGCGUUAAGUUAUCCGCCUGGGGAGUACGGCCGCAAGGUUAAAACUCAAAUGAAUUGACGG